rnacentral:rRNA from 1 species
UACAGAGGGUGCUAGCGUUAAUCGGAUUUACUGGGCGUAAAGCGUGUGUAGGCGGUUCGUUAAGUCGGGUGUGAAAUCCCUGGGCUCAACCCGGGAAUUGCAUUCGAUACUGGCGAGCUAGAGUACGGUAGAGGGCGGCGGAAUUCCGGGUGUAGCGGUGGAAUGCGUAGAGAUCGGGAAGAACAUCAGUGGCGAAGGCGGCCUGCUGGGCUGUUGCUGACGCUGAGGCGCGACAGCGUGGGGAGCAAACAGG